UACGUAGGGUGCGAGCGUUAAUCGGAAUUAUUGGGCGUAAAGCGUGUGUAGGCGGACUUGUAAGUACCUUGUGAAAUCCCACAGCUCAACUGUGGAACUGCUUGGUAUACUGCUUGUCUUGAGCCACUUAGGGGCAGUCGGAACAGACGGUGGAGCGGUGAAAUGCGUAGAUAUCGUCUGGAACGCCAAAGGUGAAAACAGAACUGCUGGGAGUGGUGCUGACG
rnacentral:rRNA from 1 species